GCGCAUUAACCGCCUUGACUGUAGUAAAACGAGCUGAAGCUAGACAGGACUUUAUGGGAUGGGAACAGACGAGGGUGUCUCAGUCUUUCCAGCUCCUGACAGUUUAUUGCCGUGGAUCAGACACUCAGAGGGCUCUGGAGCUCAUGUGGACCCGCAGACACCCUGACACACCGGGACACGGGAGCGCUACAGGCUCUGGAAAAUGGGAGCGGUGAAGUGAAAACAGCAGAAGUGUGGACUGUUGGGAUGAAAGGCACCAAAAAGAGGGCAGAAGGUUCGUCUGCAUACCGGUUUGCCACGUACAUUUGAUGUGCAGAGGUGAGUGCAUUGUAGGCAAGUCUUCUGUUAAGUUCCCACAGCAGCAGGGUUCUUGUGGUUUGCUUUGUGGUUAUGCUGAGCAAGUAUUGACAAAUUUCUCACAGUUGGUCAUACUUGGACGAUACUGAUGGAGAAAUAUUGCAAAGCUGGCGCACAGGAAAAGUGGAAAAAAUCACAGAGGAGCUCAAAGAAACUGGCUUAUGGGGCACAACACAGCAGUGGUUAUUUUCAUGCACGCUGUCAUAAAAAAAAUAGUCUUCAGCAUAAUCUAUUCCAGCCCCAUUAAUAUAAAAAAAAAUGUUAAUUACAGCCCAUCUUUUAUCACUCUCACUGAAACGCUUUGCAGCAAUAUUUAGUUUGAUAAAUGUGAUUAGGCUCAUUGGUUGUUAAUGUAUUUACUUACCAUACUUAGUCCCAUUGCAGCUUAAUUGUUUUAAAACACUUAAGUACCAUCAGUUUAAUUUAAACUGCCUGCCUCUUCCAUGGUGUCACACAUUAAUUUGGCUUAAAAGGAUUAGUGUGGCAUCCAUCUUCUUAUUACACACUUUUCAGCUUUGAACUUAAAGAUUAAAAUGAGAAGGAGCAGCUUCACUGACAAUACAUUAGUGGCUUUGAGAACAGUGAACAAACAGAGAACUAGACACCUUUUGGCGUAAAUGCAACAACACAGGGUAAAAAGCAGAGUUAAUUAGACAUUGUGUUAGGUACUCUCGCGGUUUUCUGCAUUAAAUGGGCAUGAUCAUUCUUUCUUUCACACAACUGGAUCAAAGGCUUUAAAUAAUGCUUUAUUUGUUUGUAGAUGUGUUUAUUGCUGCAAGUAAUUAGACUACUACACUAGUGGAAUUUGUCAAACGUCUUGCUGUGAUAUGACACCCUUUUAUUUAGUAGAAGAGCUCUAAAAUAAAUUUACCACUGUAAUAAAUCAGUAAAUUUGGAAAUGAACUGUUUUUAACACCUGAUGCAAUGACAGAAAAGGUCAUUUUUCUGCUUUCCCAGGAUAAAAUGGUGUGAAAAGACCUCUGAAAGUGAGAAGGAGUUGGGGCGUGAUUUCACAGGCCUUUGCCAAUUGUCCACUCGGGGUUUGCAGCUCUUAACUGCUGCCGCUGCUGGGUAAUUGCAGUAGUUAGAAUGUGUCUGAUUUGAAGGCAGCGCCAGCAGCGGUUUGCUGUUAGAUGAGAUUUAUUGGUGAGAGGCUGAGAGAAACAUCUGGUGCAGAAAGUUCACGAUCACCUCUGAAGCAACAGACGGAGCUAAAGAUGCAGGAAGGGAAGAGGGAAAGACGAGUUAAGUGUGGCUGCAAAACCACACAGAGGUGAUGAGCUGCUGAAGACCGGUGGUAGACGUGUAAAACUUAUGACCACUUGGUUUUACUGGCAGUUUUCCCAUGUUUAGUCUUCAUAUGGCUUGUGGUUUUCUGACAGGGAAGACUUCCAGGAGACCUCAGAUUUGUUGGAGGUUGAAGCAUUCUAGGCGGCAAGAACAGGAAGAGAACCUGAUUCAUGUGUAAGAAUUAUGACAAGUAAAAUGCACGUUGUCUGACAUUUUUCCAAAGUAUAAAUGAUUCAUUUUUGUCAAGGUAGGACAUGUUUACUGAUUGCAUUCCAAGAUGGACUGUUUAGUUUCUAACGAGUUAAACCAGAAAUCAUAGUCCUGUUAGGUUUUGUUCAUUUAAUAGAAGAUUUGUGUACUUAGCUUAGUCUGACAGGAUGAAACACAUCCAUUCCUGUUUGGUCAAAACCUGUAGUUGAGAACAACACACUCAGAUGUGUUGAGGGACCUUGGAUGCAAACUAAUCUUUCUAAACUGGUCUUUUCAGAGGUCCAUUUGGUGUUGUCAUUACUGAAGUCUUAAAGAAUUUGUUACAAACUGCAUUUUUUAUGUGUAAAAAAAUCAGGCAUUAACUACCACUUCACUUUUUUUGGCCAUUUUCCCUCUAUCAAGGAGGUUAUGAUAUUGCUUACAUCUGUCAGAUUACAUAUAAACUACUUCACUGGUUUCUAUCAAACUAAGUGGACCAGUGGGAUAUGGGCCAAUAAGGAGCCAAUUAAGUUCUGGAACAGAUUCAGAAAAAGCGUAUGAUCCCGUAAUGAAAAACAUGGUGAGACUGGGCCUAGGUAGAAGUAUGCACCUACAGAAUGUCCUGUUUGUUUUUAAUUGCUUCAUCUAUAAAAUAUGACAAAAUUAUUAAAGCUGGAAAAACAGAGUAUCCAUAAUUUAAAAGUGGAGUCUCUCUGAUUCAUUGUCACAAAUGACUAAGAAGCAACUC